rnacentral:rRNA from 1 species
AGAGUUUGAUCCUGGCUCAGGACGAACGCUGGCGGCGUGCCUAAUACAUGCAAGUUGAGCGGACAGAUGGGAGCUUGCUCCCUGAAGUCAGCGGCGGACGGGUGAGUAACACGUGGGCAACCUGCCUGUAAGACUGGGAUAACUCCGGGAAACCGGGGCUAAUACCGGAUAACUCUUUUCCUCACAUGAGGAAAAGCUGAAAGAUGGUUUCGGCUAUCACUUACAGAUGGGCCCGCGGCGCAUUAGCUAGUUGGUGAGGUAACGGCUCACCAAGGCCACGAUGCGUAGCCGACCUGAGAGGGUGAUCGGCCACACUGGGACUGAGACACGGCCCAGACUCCUACGGGAGGCAGCAGUAGGGAAUCUUCCGCAAUGGACGAAAGUCUGACGGAGCAACGCCGCGUGAGUGAUGAAGGUUUUCGGAUCGUAAAACUCUGUUGUCAGGGAAGAACAAGUACCGGAGUAACUGCCGGUACCUUGACGGUACCUGACCAGAAAGCCACGGCUAACUACGUGCCAGCAGCCGUGGUAAUACGUAGGUGGCAAGCGUUAUCCGGAAUUAUUGGGCGUAAAGCGCGCGCAGGCGGUUUCUUAAGUCUGAUGUGAAAGCCCACGGCUCAACC